rnacentral:sRNA from 1 species
UUUUUGCGUGAGGGAUAGAAGUGGAAAUCCUUUUUUAUCUCGUUCUUUAACGAGGUAAAAAAGAUUGCAGCGGAUAGCCCGACCCUUG